rnacentral:rRNA from 1 species
UUCGCCCUUUUCCGGUUGAUCCCGCCGGACCCUACUGCUAUCGGGGUAGGACUAAGACAUGCGAGUCGUGCGUCUCUAAGCUAUGGUAGAGACGCGGCAUACGGCUCAGUAACACGUGGCUAACCUACCCUUAGGACGGAGACAACCCCGGGAAACUGGGGCUAAUACCUGAUAGGUGAGGAGGCCUGGAAUGGUUCUUCGCUGAAAAGGCGUUGAAACCAUGCUUUUCAACGUCGCCUAAGGAUGGGGCCGCGCCCGAUCAGGUUGUUGGUGGGGUAACGGCUCACCAAGCCUAUAACCGGUACGGGCCGUGAGAGCGGGAGCCCGGAGAUGGGCACUGAGACAAGGGCCCAGGCCCUACGGGGCGCAGCAGUCGCGAAAACUCCGCAAUGCG